CUGGCUGGACAUAGUCGCCCUAAACUUCGUCUGUACCAUCAAUGGUUUCACCGCUAUCAACCUCACUAAACUUGAUGUCCUCUCUGGACUGCCUGAGGUGAAACUAGGAAUUGCUUACAAAACCCCAUCCGGCGAGAAGCUUAGAGCGUUCCCUGCUGAUCUGUCUAUCCUCGAGCAAGUUGAGGUCAGUUCCUCUUCUAAAACUUCUUCACUCUGUAGGCUUCCUCCUUGUGUCCUCUAUCGUUUUCUGCAGUCUCCUUACAUUGCUGAAUGUAAUGCUAAGCAUUCUGCCUGAUGCAUUGGCUUCUGAUUGUCAGCUUCCUGAUGCUCUUUAUGAUCGUGAUGUGAUGUGUUCGAGUAGGUGGAGUAUGAAAUCUUGGAAGGGUGGAAAGAGGACAUCACUAAAGUUAGAUCGUAUGACGAGCUACCAGCUGCUGCACAAAGGUAUGUGGAGAGGAUAGAGGAGCUUAUUGGGUUACCCUGUCAGUAUAUUGGUGUGGGUCCUGGUCGAGAUGCUUUGAUUGUGAAGCAAUAGUUGGUAGCUU
rnacentral:lncRNA from 1 species